AAUCCAUAGGUUAAUGAGGCGAACCGGGGGAACUGAAACAUCUAAGUACCCCGAGGAAAAGAAAUCAACCGAGAUUCCCCCAGUAGCGGCGAGCGAACGGGGAGGAGCCCAGAGCCUGAAUCAGCAUGUGUGUUAGUGGAAGCGUCUGGAAAGGCGCGCGAUACAGGGUGACAGCCCCGUACACAAAAGCGCAUGUGCUGUGAGCUCGAUGAGUAGGGCGGGACACGUGGUAUCCUGUCUGAAUAUGGGGGGACCAUCCUCCAAGGCUAAAUACUCCUGACUGACCGAUAGUGAACCAGUACCGUGAGGGAAAGGCGAAAAGAACCCCGGCGAGGGGAGUGAAAAAGAACCUGAAACCGUGUACGUACAAGCAGUGGGAGCCCCACCACUAAGCCAGUGGUGAACUCCACAUACGCAUCCUUUGCUGAGGAUACGGUUAACGGAGCGAAAGCGACGUUCAACCUCAAAAGAAGCAGAGG
rnacentral:rRNA from 3 species